UGCAAUUUCGAAGGCGAACAAAAAUAUUUAUUGGGGGUGGUACAUCGAUAUAGUGCACUGAUUAAAAAUCGUCCGGCGCGGUGUGAACGGUCAACACUCAACAUCCGUGAACAUUCCAUCCGGGAAGAGAAUUCAACGAGGAAUGUUAAUAUUAUUGAUCUUCCCGGUCAAGAUAAAGAUGAUUCUUUCGAUAUGUGUGUCCGCCUGGAUCGGCCUUUCAUCCACACAGGCCAUGAUGGUAGCUGGGUUCUGCCCCAAGGGAAGAAUAUACGGACUAGGUGAAACGGGGUUCGCUAGAAUACAAUAAUGAUUUUCCGAUCAGGCGGAAAAUUAUCCUAACAGCGCAAUAUUGAUGACGGUGAGCUAAUGGAAGAACUCGUAAUAGACAGAAGAUUGACGAACUGAACAAAGAAAAUGUUAAAAUUAUGUUUCGGAAGUAUGUGGGCGUUUUCGAAAAGGUUCGACAAAUUAAUGAACGGUACCGAUGGGAUUUAAAAAGUGCCGGAAGCUGUGGCAAUACCGGAAAAAAAUCCGAUGCAUUAAAUCGUGGUGCGUGCCAUUUCAUUUACCUUGGCACCAAGGUAUUGGCGAUCGUUUUUCGGCGGACCGUUCUGGAGGAAUGUUUAAUAAACACAUCAUCAU